rnacentral:rRNA from 1 species
UGGGGAAUAUUGCACAAUGGAGGGAACUCUGAUGCAGCGACGCCGCGUGAGUGAUGAAGGAAUUCGUUUCGUAAAACUCUGUUCUAUGGGAAGAAAAGGACUGUACCAUAGGAGAAAGCUCCGGCUAAAUACGUGCCAGCAGCCGCGGUAAUACGUAUGGAGCGAGCGUUGUCCGGAAUUAUUGGGCGUAAAGGGUGCGCAGGCGGCUUUACAAGUUGGAUGUGAAAUAUUGUGGCUCAACCACAAACGUGCAUCCAAAACUGCAAAGCUUGAGUUAAGGGGAGGUAAGUGGAAUUCCUGGUGUAGCGGUGGAAUGCGUAGAUAUCAGGGGGAAUACCGGUGGCGAAGGCGACUUACGGGGCUUAAACAGACGCUCAGGCACGAAAGCGUGGGGAGCAAACAGG